rnacentral:lncRNA from 1 species
GAACUGGUAGUAAUGACAGUGGUUCAACAUCGGCGGGACAAUCUCCACGACUUAAAUCUUUCUCUUGUAGAUCUCUUCUGACUAAUGAUGUAAGUGAUGCCUGAUAAUUGGAAGUACAAAAGAAUCUGUUCGUUCUGAGACGAUGUCUAUAUAUCCGUGUUAGGAACCUAUUAUAUAAAUUUAAGGUUGAGUUGAUUCUAUGAAUUCAUUAGGUUCUGCAAAAAAUUUGAAAGCUAAUCUUGAAUUCUUAAUAAAUCAGUAUGGUAGUACGUAUGAGAACUUAAUGUACAAAGUAACCUAUGAUGCUAAUAUCUUAUUGCUAUGGGUCCCUGAUUCUUUGAUGUUCUCAUGAAUUGUUUCAAUUAAUAGUUUAUUGAUACCCAGUGCUAAUUUCUGCCUUGACAUAUAUAAAGUGUGGAUAUAGGUGUGUUUCUUUUCUUUGGCUCAUCAAUGUUUGUGAUUGCCUAUCUGCCAUCUUAGUAUUCUUUGUAAGUCUGUUUGGAAAAAUAAGCAACACUCCGCGGUGAGCCACUGCUCGCUAAUCCAAUCUGAAUCACGUGCUCUCUGAGUUUCAAGCCAUCUGCUAUAUGGUACCUGCCCAUUGGCUGAGAGUUUCGUGAGAAUGGUCAUAUUUUUAUGCUGCUCACAGUGACAAAUAGAGGAUUGUGUUUUUACUGCUGAGGGUGAACCAGUUGUCCAUUCUGCCUCUAAAAGUUUGCCCAUUUUCCUUUUGCUACUCUUCCUUUAUUUGCUCCUUUUGAUUUCAGCAUUUUUUCACCAUUUUCGGCUGAAGUCUGUCAAGGUGGCAUAAGACUAUUUUGAACUUCUAGAAAACAUCCAUUAGUUAUGAACAGAAACAAUACAUUGGGUGGUUCUUUUGUCAAUUAUGGAGGGUAUCUUGGUUAUACUCGUAAUGAUCCAAAUUUUGCAUGCUUUUCUUCAGUCAAACUGACAGUGACAGUAAAACAAAUUAUCGCAUAAUGGAAGAAUGACAAUGUAUUCCCCUAGGUGGAUGCUUAGCCCCGCUAGGUGAUGGUCCCUCUCCAGACUAGUACUCAGCUCUUAUGGGAACACGGACUUACUGGUAAAAAGGAAAAUGACUGAAAUUUGAACGGCAUAAUGACGAACAGGGGCCAGCUUAGUGGCAAAGGCAAAUUUUCAUUAACACUAGACACCUUAGGCACUUUUGGCUGACUGCAGUUAAUUGAGCUGCACAUAUUAGUUGAAGUGAAGAAUACGGAUUAUUAAUUGCAUGCAUUUCUGUAGGGAAACAAAGCAGGAUUUCACCUUUUUGUGCUACUUCUAUGAUACUACAUGGAUUACCCUCUUCAAUACUUUUUUUAGAAUUUUGGAUUUGAAUUACACUGUAAAACUAGAUUGCUCUUGUUGCCUUUAUUUACGGAUGCAGUUUUAUUUGCUCAGACACAUAUUUUCACUUUUUCAGACAUUAUUGUUCUGACUCUUUUCUUUAACAGGUGGAAAGUGGACUAAGAAGACCCCUGAACCCCUAGGGCUCACGUUGCAGACAGAUUAUUUUGCAAACCAAAGUGGACUAACCACAGUUUGUUGGAAGAGGGAUGCUGGUUCCUCAGAUAAGAACUAGAUGUUUAUUUCUUGGUUUAGGGAUUCCUGUUCAGAUAACUAGAGCUUUAUUAAUUUCCCUUUUUCUCUUAUAAAUGAAUUGAUGAGUUUUAUUUGUGAAUAUGUCUAGAUGAGUUCCUGUUCAAAAUUCAGAUAUGCGACUUGUUUUCAUUCAGUGAUUUAAAUGUUCAGAUGUGCAUGCUUCCUACUGGCUGAUAUGCAUUCAUUUCAUCCAAGAGAUUCUGAUCUGAUUUGUCAAUCCAAAUUUACUACUAGGUGCAGGCUUGGUUUGAUCACCUGAUGACAGGAUGGGUCCUACUGCCGAGCCCAUUCUUACUGACAAGCUGUAGGCGGCGAGCAGAAGGCCAACAUUGUGACGUGAAUUCCCCAACCUCUGCUGGCUCCAACCCAAACAACAACCUUUGGAGCAUCCUUUGUGCAGGUGUUGAGCGCUGGGACCAUCUUAUAACCCUAGAUGAGCAAUGGACCUCUCCAAUCUUUUUAUUUGUUUUUUAUUCGUAAGGGGUGGGAUUUUUUUGUGUGUGGCAUUCUGACCUUGCAACAGUGAUAACUCUAUGAUGCAUGGUCAAAUGCUUAUCAUUCCUCAGGGAAGUCUAUCUAGUAUUCCAGUGCAGCGAUUGCAUGUACAAGACCUACUGGCUCUGUCCACUCCUUGUAAUGAUCACUAGCUGCUAUAAUUGUUGUACAAUUGUAUUACUUGUGUCCGGGAGCGUGAUGCUGAAUCCAGGUUCC